GAUGAACGCUGGCGGCGUGCCUAAUACAUGCAAGUCGAGCGAACAGAUGAGGAGCUUGCUCCUCUGACGUUAGCGGCGGACGGGUGAGUAACACGUGGAUAACCUACCUAUAAGACUGGGAUAACUUCGGGAAACCGGAGCUAAUACCGGAUAAUAUAUUGAACCGCAUGGUUCAAUAGUGAAAGACGGUUUUGCUGUCACUUAUAGAUGGAUCCGCGCCGCAUUAGCUAGUUGGUAAGGUAACGGCUUACCAAGGCGACGAUGCGUAGCCGACCUGAGAGGGUGAUCGGCCACACUGGAACUGAGACACGGUCCCGACUCCUACGGGAGGCAGCAGUAGGGAAUCUUCCGCAAUGGGCGAAAGCCUGACGGAGCAACGCCGCGUGAGUGAUGAAGGUCUUCGGAUCGUAAAACUCUGUUAUUAGGGAAGAACAAAUGUGUAAGUAACUAUGCACGUCUUGACGGUACCUAAUCAGAAAGCCACGGCUAACUACGUG
rnacentral:rRNA from 1 species